CAUCUGUCUUGGCAUGCUAAAAGAGGAGAUAAAGAACAGUAGCAAAUAUGCUGCUAGGCCAUUGACCAGCAGUUGGGUACUAAGAAAGGAGAAGCUCUUAUUGACCUGUAAAAUGAAAACAGGACAUUUUCAAAUUGUUUUGUUGUAGGGAUGGGGUACAAGUAGAAGAUUGGUCGAUAUUAUGUACAUGUACCUUGAUAUGAAUUUAUUUUUGAUUGUGUUCAAUGAUAAACUGGAAAUAAAUGAUAACAUAAAUUC